GACGAACGCCGGCGGCGUGCUUAACACAUGCAAGUCGAACGGCAAGGCCCUGCUUUUGUGGGGUGCUCGAGUGGCGAACGGGUGAGUAACACGUGAGUAACCUGCCCUUGACUUUGGGAUAACUUCAGGAAACUGGGGCUAAUACCGGAUAGGAUCUCCUGCUGCAUGGUGGGCGUUGGAAAGUUUCGGCGGGUGGGGAUGGACUCGCGGCUUAUCAGCUUGUUGGUGGGGUAGUGGCUUACCCACGCGUUGACGGGUAGGCGGCCUGAGAGGGUGACCGGGCACAAUGGGACUGAGAGACGGCGCAGACUCGUACGGGAGGCAGCAGGGGGGAAUAUUGCACAAUGGGCGGAAGCCUGAUGCAGCAACGCCGCGGGCGGGAAGACGGCCUUCGGGUUGUGAACCGCUGUCGCCUGUGACGAAGCGUGAGUGACGGUAAUGGGAAAAGAAGCACCGGCUAACUACGUG
rnacentral:rRNA from 1 species